UGUAUAGCUUUUGAGGUACUCUAUACUACCAAAGCAAUGAAGUGUUCGGUCGGUUAGAGGUAUCUUAGUGAGUGGGGAUUAAUUCCUUUAUUUGCUCUAGAAAGCAUAGUAUUGCUUGGAGCUAGGAACCAUUUAGGGAAGGUGGGAUGCCCAAGCGAUCUUGCUUGCUGCCGUCAUGCCUAGAAUAUGUUCAAAUUUAUUGGGGGUGAAUCCAAUUCAGGACACGUCUCAAUAGUUCUAUUCUUGACCAGAGGUAGCAUACCGAACAGUUAUAUUCUUUUUUUUUUUUUUUGCUAUGCUAAAAUCACAGUUUAUCGGUGGCAGAGACUUUGUUUGGAUAAUGUUUUUGGGAUUAUAUGACAGGCUCUGAAAUAUGAUAUAUAACUUUGUAUUUUUUGUGCUUAAAUUGUAAGUAACUGUUGUUCUUACUUUGCUAGCUUUUGUACUUUUUCUGCACAGCAGUACAAGCCUUGUAGCUAUACUGUGAUUCCGCCGUUGGUUGCGGCUUGGCAUGCAUGAUCUUGUUACUCUCUUAAGUUUUUUUUAACCUAGGUCAACUUUUGCACACCGAAGUUGUCUCAUGCAUUUUAUAACGAAAGAGUGCUUGACGUAUAGACAGGAAAAAAAAAGGUAUGGACGAUCAUAGCAUGACUUUACACUGCAAAUGUCACUCGUUUAUCCCCAUUCUUUUGUUACAAAUAUGUCUGAGGCAAUAUCCAUGACUGGCUACUGGUAGAAAGUGAUUUUGAUGGCGUGUUUUAUUAGGUAGCAGUAGGUUCAGACUGAGCCGUUCAGUACACUUUUGUUUGAACGACACAUUUCACUACUUGGAAACUGUGAAAUCUUUGAACCAUUUUGUCCUGCAAAUGGGUGCUUGUGUGGCCACGAUUUCAGGUCUAGUUGGUGCAGUCCCUGCUCGACGGUCCCUAAUCAGAAACAGUGCGGAGCCCCCCGUCCGCGCCGAACGCCGAUGAGCCGAUGCAGGCAUCCAGCUAGCUGCUGGCCUGGCUGCCGCACGCACGAUACGAGCCGGUGCCGAGGGUCCCGAGUUCCCGAACCCGAAGCUGCGCGCGUGGGCGGAGGGACUUGGUCAGCUGCGCCGUUGAACUAUUCAAGUCUUACGAAUUAGGUCUUGCAAAUGAUCUCAUCUUUUACAGCAUUAGGAAUAAUCCCAUGACUUCUGUGCCUUGAGCCAUCACGUACAUCUGCAGCCCACGAAGCUAUAUUGGUGUGCUCUUGCACACCAUCUAUAUAUAUAGUAUGACUUGUUUAGCUUCCAAACUCUAGACCCAUUAAAGUAUUAUAAACCCUUUUGCAUCGCCCAAGCUUGCUAGUGUUACUGUCUUUUCAGUGCAUUUUCAACAACUUCCAGUGGGCUGCGAAUAAUCUAAGAAAGAAGAUGACCUAAAAUAUUUUCGGUUUUUAUUUUUUUAGAAGUCGAUUUGUGUCAAGUUGUUCUUUUGUACUGGCCAUUAUGUUUUCCUUUAGAUACGAGGCACUAUUUUGGUGUCUUUCUUAAAAAAAAAACACCGCCAACUGAUCCAGGAAAAUAACAAUUACAAAUCCAAAGACCUAAUUUCAAACAAACCGAGGACUUCGGUUCUUUUUGUUAGGCUGACGAGCUCAGUUUGGUUUGGUUAAAAUUGGCCUGUGCUCUUUCAUGUUUGCUUUGUGGCACACAAUGCACGCUAGAAAUACUAUUAUAGCGGUGACGUGGGCAAAAAAAAAAUACAAAUAUGGGGUCGCACAAUUGUAUAAGCAACAUAGAUAGCCUGCCCGGUUGUACUAGCUUCACCUUAUUUGCAAUGGUUUGCAAAGCUAACAGAUUAAAACCACUUUCGUUUCGAACCCAAAUCUUUAGCGCCUCCCGCUUCUCAAACAAGCGGGCUCAUAGGCUUCUCCUUUCGUAAAACCAAUGUUUUCUUUUCAAAUUUAAGGGGGCAUAUGCACCCAGUGACCAAAUAUAUUUAUGUCCGUGCAGUGGACUGAGUUUGCGCUGUACAUAUGAAAGAUUAGUCGAUCACGAUAGCAAGACUUGCUGCCUUUUUUUUUUCAAAUGUCCACAUCUAUCUACAGGAAUGCAUGGCCAAGUUCACAUUUAGUUCAAAUCGAUUCCUCAAAAGACCUAUGCGAGCCAACCGUGAUAAACAACUUGGUUUAUGGUAGUGGACUAGUGAUAUUAUGAUACAUGUAUCCCGUAUCCGUCAGUUCCCUCUCUCCAAAGCUUUUCUUAUCACAAGGGGAAAAGGCAAACUAUGACCGUGUGACUCUCCAAACAUUUUAGCAUGGCAUAGCACAAUUUUAGGAGCUGUUUAGCAUAGGAAUUUCAUAGGGAACAGUGUGAGUGACUUGCUCAUAUCAAGUUCAAGCAUUUCGAAUUGGACAUAGUUUAUUGCGCAUUUCCCAUUGUAAUGUACAAACUCAAAAUUAUUUUUUUUUCAAAACGAACUGGGCAGGAGAGCUGUCAAUUAUAUUAAAAAUAAGAGGGUCCAGACAGGACAAAUACAAAGCACCAGACAGUGCAAAGAGGAAAGAAAAAACUAUUACAGUCCUUUGUAUGGAAAGUAUUAACAGCGGGCGAGCAAAACAGAAAGUUGCUUUGCCCCGGCCGUAGUCCACAUCGCAGCCUCAUCUUUAAUCUUUUCGAAAAUCAUGUUGAUUGUUCAUUCCUUCCGCUUGAAAAUUCUCGAGUUUCUCUCCUUCCAUACAGUCCAUGAGACGAGCAUGAUCAUGGAACGCAUGUCUUUUCUUGAGGAGCAAUGCGUUGUUGCCCUUGCCGACCACCAAUGGUGCAAAGUUUCCACCUAUUCCCAUAGCAUUGGCUGGAUCGCCGUAUAGGAUAUCCAACUCGCCACCAUGUCCCACAGCCUACGCGUCACCCUGCAUUGAGUGAAGAGGUGCAUUGCCGACUCUUGUGUAUUAUGGCAUCACAGGCAGUUAAGUUGAUUUGGUCACCCCCUUUUGCACAAUCUAUCCGUCGUCCAUAACCUGCUUUGGAUCGCAAACCAGAAGAAGAUCUUACAGCUUCUAGGAGCCCAAACUUUCCAUAUUAGUGCGUCGAAGUUGGUGUACGUAGAGCCAAUGAACUGUGCGUUGUAUGCGGAUUUGGCUGAGUAAAUCCCGUCUGCACUUAGUUUCCAUUUGAUGUCAUCCACCGCCCUUGGCCCAAGUUCCACUUGCUGUACAAUUUUCUAUAGGACAUGCUUCCGUUUGUGGUCUUGCGUGGAGAAGUCUCGGUGCCGAAGGUUGAUGUCCUUAAUCCAGUUCCUGUUAUAUAGUGCUUCCCGCAGACAUCUAUUCUUUUUCCUGGAGAUGGAAUAAAUGUGUGGAGCUACGUCUCUUGGUCAUUGUCCCUGUGCCCAUCCACUGUUCCAAAAAGAAGUCCUAAUCCCAUCACCUAUAUCGAUAGUGGUACAUGUGGCAAAUAGCUUUUUAUCCGUAUUGUUACAGGGAACUUCGGAUCCCACCCAAAGUUUAUGCUCUGCUUUCCACUCUUGCCAUAACCAUCUUAGCCUCAAUCCUCUUGCGAACUUUGUGAGGUUUAGGAUUCCCACACCCCCGAGCCUAGUUGGUCUUGCGGAUCGCACCCAGUUAACUUUGCAUUUUCCGCCUGUGAUUUCUGCAGCUCCGGUCCAGAAAAAUUUCUUCCGUUUAUGGUCGACGUCCUUCAUCACUUCUUGGGGAGCAUCUAGCGCUGACAGGAGGUAUACCGCCAGCGAGGUUAGCACUGAUUUAUUGAGUGCUAGACAUGCCGUCAUGGUCAUAUUCCUCGCGUUCCAUGCGGUGAGCUUGCUAAUCGCCUUAUCGACAACAUACUGGAAGUCUACUCUUUUCAACCACGUCGUCGUAAGUGGCAGCCCCAAAUAUCUAAUCGGGAAUAUUGCUCUUGUUACCUUCGUAGCUUAUAAGCAUCACGCUCGAUUUUUCAAAGUUUGUUCUCAAACCCGACAUCUCUCCAAACCUGGUCAGUAAGUCAGCAAGGGCACUUAUAUCAUCAUUGGUCGGAUUUAGUAAUAUGGUUGUGUCGUCGGCGUACAUGGAGGUUCGCAGAUUUAGGCAUUUCCCUCUGAGUUUGGUCAGGAAAUUUCUAGGAGGGCACGAAGCGGCUCAAUCGCUAUGACAAACAAAAGUGGUGACAGUGGGUCACCCUGCCGUAAUCCUCGCUGGUGCUUGAUGGGGCUGUUCGGGAUCCCAUUGAGGAGGACCCUUGACGACGAUGUGUAAAACAGAGAUGCCAUCCAGUCGUGCCAUUGUGGGGGGGAAACCUAGUCGCUCAAGUAGGGAGAGCAGAUAAUCCCAUCGUACCGGUCGAAAGCUUUUGCGAUGUCGAGUUUGAGGGAGAGUGUCGGUAUUUUGAGGUGGUGAAAUCGUCGCGCCAUAUUGCGGACUGUCAAGAAAUUAUCAUGGAUGCUUCUUUUUUUUUAUGAAAGCUGAUUGUGAUUGCGAUAUGAUGGAUUUCAUACGGGGCGCUAGACGCAUGGCAAGGACCUUGGUAAUUAUCUUGAUGAAGGAGUGGAUCAGGCUUAUAGGCCUAAAAUUAGACACUGCUUCAGCCCCUUCCUUUUUUUGUAUGAGCACGAUAUUGGCUGUAUUAAUUAACGGGAGACUCGUGCAGCGAAGAUUGUGGAAGUCGUUUGUUGCCUCAAUGAGAUCAGCCUUUAUUAUGUCCCAGCAUGUCUUAAAGAAGACACCUGUGAACCCAUCUAGGCCAGGCGCCUUGAUCUCCAUUUCAGAGAAGGAAUCGUCGAGACCGUGUAGGUCCAGCCUGGGUAAAUUUAGGCACUCCCAGUUGAUGUCCUGUGUUCUGCUGCCAGGGUGGCCCAUCAUUAUUACCCAUGGAGUGCCAUUGCUCGGUUUGAUGGAAACUCAAAAUUAUGCAAAUGAGAAGAGGGGGGGUGUAGGUAUAAACUAAGCAUAUCUGCGUAGAAGCUUUGGCUCCAGGCUUUCAGUGCGCUAGCGGUGUGCAUCAGCUUGUAGUAAAGGCAAUGGAAAGGCUCACGAUGAUUGCAAGGUUUGUUCCAUGCUUCGGCUACGAUCUCCUUGAAGCGAGGAAGUUUCGUCCAGAAGUCCUCAAAUCGGAAAGUGCGUGGAUGUCUCGGGCCGCUUUGAUUAGACAUAAGCAGGGGGCAGUGAUCUGAGUGAGACGUUAAGAGGGCGUGUAAGACAUGUGACGCAAAAAGAUCAUGACCUUCCGCGUUGCAGAAUACGCGGUCUAGUUUAACAAGCGUCGGUUUUGCUGCUCAUUACUCCAUGUGAAUCUACGAUUUUGUAGCGUGUUGGAUAAGCACGUCUCUAAAUAGGCUCAUUACUCGAUGAUCCAAUCUCGCAUUUAUAGAGGAGGUUGAAGUCCCCCAUUAUUACCCAUGGAGUGCCAUUGCUCGGUUUGAUGGAAACUCAAAAUUAUGCAAAUGAGAAGAAGGGGGGGAGUAGGUAUAAACUAAGCAUAUGCAUAAGCGUGUUCUUUUUUUCAGGAAUGCAAAGCAGAUAACAGGCAUGUAGUAACUUCAAGUGCAUAAAUAGUUAACAAAAACUCAGAAAAAUAUGGAGAAAUCGUAAUCUCUCCCUCCGUCGCUGCCAACAUCCGUCGGCGGCGUCUCACCAUCGCCACUCGUGCCGAACACCUCAUGCACGACCUUCUCCACGUCCAACGCUCCGGCCUCGGCCUCCACGCCCGCGCCGCCAACGUCGUCGUCGUCGGGAGCCGGGAUGAACGGCGGGCGCGCCACGUCGAGGACGCGGUCCCAGUCCACGCCGCGGAAAAAGGAGUGCCGCUUCACGCCGUGCGCGCCCAGCCGCUUCCCGGGUUCCUUCUCGAGCAGGCGCUCGAUGAGGUCACGCAGCGGCGUCGGCUCGCCGGGCAGCUCCGGCGGCGCGGUGAGGACGCGGUGGAACGUCUCCCGCCGGCUCCGGCCCCGGAACGGCGUGCGCCCGUACAGCAUCUCGUAGAGCACGACGCCGAGUCCCCACCAGUCCACGGCGUGGUCGUGCCCAGCGCCCGCCACGAUCUCCGGCGCCACGUAGUCCUCCGUGCCGACGAACGAGUUCGACUUGGCCGGCGUCCGCGCGCCCGACGAGCAGCAGGACGAGGACGACGAGGCGGUCAGGGAAGUGGACGGUGGGGACUGGGAAGACGAAGCCUCUGGCGAGGCUGCGCGGCGGGAGGAGAAGCACGCCAAGACCAUCGCCGCCGCUGCCUUCUUGUUCUUGCGCCUGCGGCGGUGGCGCGACGAAGGCCGUGACGGCGAGCUGACGCGUCGCGCGGUCGCGUCCGGCGGCGGCGGGGGCGGGGGCGGCGGCAGCGUGGUGGAGAGGUCGAAGUCGACGAGCAUGAUGUGGCCCGAGUCCUGGACGAGGACAUUCUCCGGCUUGAGGUCGCGGUACACGACGCCGAGGCCGUGGAGGUGCUCGAGGACGAGCACCAGCUCCGCAGCGUAGAACCGGAUGACGGACUCCGGGAACGUCGUGUCGGCGCGCCACCGGCGGCGGAGCGACUUGAGGUCUCCGCCGGGGCAGCGGUCGAUGGCGAAGCCGACGACAGCGUCGGUGGCCACGACGCCGCGGAGGGAGGGGAGCAGCGGGUGCCGGAGCGCGAGCAGCACGUCGCGCUCGAACCAGAUCCUCCGGUGCCCGUCGCCGCCGCACGUCCCUCCUGGCCCCGCGCCCUUGUGCCGCGCGGCGGCGCGGGACAUGGCCUUGAGCGCCAUGGCCAUGGGGUCGCCCGCGGCGGAGGUGUCCCCGGCUGCUGCUGCUGCCGCUGCGGUGGCGGCGGUGGCGACGGGCACGACGUGGAAGACCACACCCCUGGCGCCCUGGCCGAGCACGGACAGCGCCCUGAGGUCCGCCAGGCUCAGCUGCUGCGGCGGCGAAGGUGCCAUGCUCCCCAUGGUCGACGUGGGAAGAAAGCAGAGCUGAACAAAGCUGCUUCUGCCUUCUGGUGUUGUUGAGCUGAAGGGUUUUAGGUUUUGAUAUUUACUAACUCCUCUCGGUUUGGUUGGUCUGCUUAUAUUUCAAGUGAUCUUCUUUUGUUUUUCCAAAUUACAAAGUAUGCUGCUUUUCAAAAUCCUCUGGAAAAAAUGGCUUUUCUCCCAAAAAUUCGUCAACUCAAUUCACGUGCUACUUGAUGUCAGAAGCCGCUGUCAUACAGCAUAUUCGCGCCAUCCAGCUUACGGACAGGAAAACCAUGGCUGAGUCACAGGGCGGAAAAUCUGGAGCACAUCUGGAAAGAACUCACAUGGAACCCGAGCUUGUCCCUGGAAGCUCUGGAAGCUGAUUCAUGGGCAGAUGAGCAUGAGCGUGCAGACCAACUGCAACUGAUAACCCAGCGGAGUGUCCUCAAAUUUCACAAAGGCGUCACGUCAGGUGCCAUCUGUUGCUGCCACUAGCCCAAUAGUUCCAGAGGGAAUUAAGCCUUAAGCACCGUCUCGUUCAAUAGUUAAUCCAGCCACGUCAGUAAAGAGCUGGCAGCUAGCUCACGUCCUUCAUGUGAUAUAGCUACUGGUGCCAACUCAGGAGUACGCUUCAACCGCCGCAAAGAUCGCUGUUGGCGUACAAGUAAAUCAUCCGUUUGUAGAAGCCACUUUACACGAAAAGAAUGGAUACUUUUGAUCCUUGUUCAGACUUGAAGGUUCUGGUGAGCUCAAGCAUCCAUCAAUAAGUUGUUUUCAGCUGGGUCACCCGAUCGAUCGAUCAAGGGAUGCAUAGAGCUUCAUGACCUGCUUGGACUUGGACGAAUCAGAUCAAAGUUAGUUUAGGUGUGAUGCUGUACUCGCUGCUGGUCCAAACAACCUAACAGGCAUUUCGUUACUCAGCUACCUCCUAGGCUCCUAAAGGUGCUUAAAGCAUAAUAAGCAUUUGACUUCAACGGCUUUGCACGUUUCAUUCAGAUAGCUUCAAUAUGUUAAGAGAUCCGCAGGUCACUGGCAGUCAGCCAGAACAAAUCAGCGAAUCCAUAGACAUUGUGUAUGAUAAAUAUUGACAUGUUGAAUGAGCUACAAAUAAAAAACACUAAUUCAGCAUAGGUUCAUCCAUUCAUAUCGCAAAUGAUCAGUGUUGAGAUAUAACAAGCAAAACAAUGACUCAUUACAAGUAGGUUUCAUACUUUCAUUAGAUUAAUAAGGUUUCUAUGCAUAAUACAGAGUAAAAUUUUCCAUAAAUCCAGAAAUAAAGCAUCUUCAGUUCAGUAGCCAUACUCUUGUAUUUGAAGCUAUCCACUGAACAAAACAAAACGUGAUGUCAAUAUGUCAUGAACCAUGCUGUUAGUUUUUGCAGUAGAAGUGUGUGACCAUCCCAGGAUUGAUAAAAAUUAGAAAAUCUGCAAUUUACAGCAACACUGGGGUGGCAUUCCUGGUAAAAUGUAUCUAUACCAGUGGUAUUGUAGGAAAUUCAGGAAAAAGAGCUUAUGUGGAUAAAAGAAGAACCUGGUUCCAGCACUGACUAGUGACUAUGACUGAUUCUGUAAUCUGUACAAUUGCCCAAUCCUUUGAAAAGCAACCGAUGCUCAUUCUCCACCUUUUCCAGUUGAAGAGCCCACCAUCUCACCAGUAUGAGAAGAAUUAUCAUUCUGAAAAUACAUCCUGGGGUUAGUUCGGAAUGCACAUAACAAGUAUAGGUUCCCGAUCUCUAUUACCAGAAGUGUGUACUAUUACGAUAUGAAAAAAUGGUCACCACCUUGCUCAAUGCUACUGCACUUGCAGAUAGCGAACUUGCCAUUUACCAGUAAAAGUAGUUAGGAAGGCCACCAAGAAAUAGUAUCUAGCACACUCAUGGUCUCAUUCAUGGGCAUUGUACACUCCCAGUUUACCAGAUGAUACAGAAAGCACUGGGCAGAAAUCAUAUGCCAACUCUACUAGAUUACAGGUACAAAGUAGACAGAAUUCAUAUAUUCAACAAAUGAUCGCCGUUAAAUUGAUAUAACAUCAAACAGUAGCUCAACAACACUACAAGCAUGACCAGUUUUGAACUGGACAGGAACUGAAAAUCCAGAGAGUAUUUACAUCUGAACUUGCGCGCAGUACAACAGUUCUGAUUGUGGCUAAUGCACCACCUAGUUAUGUGCAUCCUUGGUAUCAAGACUCAUGAUCUGGUCAAGCAGAAACUGGUGCCCAAUCCCCUCAAACAUGGCAGGUCUACCACCUGAUUGCAUUGUACAACAGAAGCAAGUAUGUUGCAACUGGAUCUACAAAUCUCUGGAGCAAUAACAUUAGAAAACAAUCAGGCAUCACCUCUUGGCUGAAGAUCUGCUUGAUGAUCAGAUAUCAUCUUUCUUGAUGAUCAGCUGCACACUAGAGUCACUCAGGCUUCACAAAUAUCCGCUUAUUUACAUGACAUCCUAAUUUCGAAAUUCUCCUCCUAUUGUAAAUAUUCAACCCGGACAGGCCGAAACACAAAGUUUCUUGCCUUAGGGGAGCAUAGCAAGGUCGCCAAUGAUACAUAGAAGCUAGUCAUCGUGCUGAUACAGAAUGCACCAAGAGACACCCAUCCAUUUUCUCCAUGCCAGCCACCAAGCCAACCACGAUGAUUGCUUCCUUCCAUUUUCCCUUCUGGCAUCCUUGCAUCCUCAGAGCAUCCUUCACCAGUGCAUAUUCCUGGAUUUCCUGCCAAUGCUCCUGGGAACUUAGAUGUUGGCAAAGGCCCAGACAGACUAUUGUAGGAGAGAUUAAGGACCUCAAGCUCUGCCAUGGCUGCAAUGCCAGGAGGCACCUCCCCUGACAGCCCAUUAUGUGAGAAGUCAAGUGUAUGCAACCUCCCCAUUCCACCAAGCCCUGCAGGGAUCUUCCCAGCCAAGUAAUUACAAGAGAGGUUCAAAUACUCCAGUCCCUUCAUUGCAACCAACCCUUCCGGUAUCUCCCCACGGAGUUCAUUCCUUGACAGAUCUAUCCCAGUAGUUGCCUGAAGAUCAUACACCAGAUCCAACUGCCAUGAAACCGUAUCCACGGAUGCUGACACAAACAACUGAGGUGGAAGCACACCCUCUGAUGGAAUCCCCUGACCACCUCCACUGUUAAGCACUGCACUGGCAUUGAACCCACCAUCUGGGAUGAAACCCACAAACUUAUUGCCAGACAAAUCAAGCCACUGGAGCAGGGGAAACGAGAACAUCCAAUCAGGUAGCUGGCCGGAAAGCUGGUUACCAGCCAGCGACAAGAACCUCAAACUCAACCAUUUCUCUACAGCACUGCUGAGCUCCCCACUGAUGUCAUUUCCCGACAAGUCCACUACCUCCAGAGACCUACACCCAGCCAACGGUAGUGGAAUCUCUCCAGAUAUCUUGUUGUUCGACAAAUCUAGAACCUUGAGGCUAUCAAGAGCGUCAAGCUCCGGCCGCAGCAACCCAGAGAGCCGGUUCCCCCCGAGCCGCAGGUACAGAAGCUGGAAGCAGCCUGCAAGUCCGGCGGGCACUGCACCGGACAGCCGGUUAUUUGACAAAUCCAGCACCUGCAAGUAGGUCAGGUUCCCGAUUCCGGGAGGAAUCUCCCCGGACAGCUGGUUGCCCGCGAGGAACAGACCCUGCAGACUCCGUAUCGCGGUAAUCCCGGCGGGAAUCUCGCCGGAGAAGCGAUUGUGGGAGAGGUCGAGGAGGAGGAGCGCGGAGGCGUCGGGGUCGGCGACGAUCCGCGGGGGGACGGCGCCGGAGAUGGCGUUGCGGGAGAGGUCGAGGGCGGCGAGGCGCGCGGAGAAGGAGAGCCGCGGGGAGAGCGGGAGGCGGAGGGAGUUGGCGGAGAGGUUGAGGGCGCGGAGCGCGGGGAGCGAGGACGGCAGGCAGGUGGGGACGGCCCCGGAGAGCGCGUUGCGGGAGAGGUCGAGCGAGACGAGGGAGCGCGGGAGGGAGCAGGGGAGCUCCCCCGAGAGCGCGUUGGCGGAGAGGUCGAGCGCGCGGAGGCGGCGGAGGAGCGCGAGCGGCGCCGCCGGGAGCGCGCCGGUGAGGUUGAGGCCACGGAGCGCGAGCUCGGCGACGGAGGGGGCGGCGGCUGGCGCCGCGGCGGGGUGGAGCGAGAUGCCGACCCAGGACGGCGAGAGCGGGCCGCGCCAGGAGGAAAGCGCGGCGCGGGAGGGCGGCGUCAGGGCGGCGCGGAAGGCCAGGAGCGCCGCGCGGUCGGUGGAGGCGGGGGCCGCGGGGCUGGGCGCGGAGGCCAGAAGGAGGAGGAGGAAGGAGGUGGUGGCAAGGAGGUGGUGGGGAGCGGUCGGCAUGGCGGUGGUGGUGGCCGGCGUGGGGCUGGCCGGUUAGGGUUUUGCGUGGCGGGGUUUGGGCGCGGCCGCGGAGGGAGGUGGUCGGAACUCGGGGCGGGUGAGAGUGGAGCGGUCGAGUGACUCGAGGAGAGUGUGUGCGGGCGUCUGGAAAUUUGGGGGGAAAGGUGGCGACGGCGGGUGGAGAGGAAUCUGGUUCGGGAACGGAACGGAACGGACGAGAGGCGGAGGUGCGGCCGGCGGCCGCGGGCCCGCGGGCCGGCGAAUGUCCGAUCUCGGUUGGUGAAGCUUCAGAUGUGACCAUUCGACCAUGCUUUGGUUCUCGGCUCAGUGCAAGUAAAAAAAAGUAUGAAAGUGUUUUGACGCUCGAUCUGUCAAAAUUGUUGGUCACGCACGGCCCAUUUCAUUCUUUACAAUCGAUGUUCUUAACGCACUUAGGUGAACACGCUUUUACAAAUUUUUGAUAGAUCCAAUUUUCGGUUGUGUACGAAAUAUUCUAGCAUUGCAGUAGUCUCAAUUUUUUUUCUAACGGCUGUUGGAGUUCUGCAUGGCAUAUAUCAGUAGGCAGUAAGCCAAACAUGUGGAUAGAACUUCCAAAAAAAUGCAUAGUGACUUUGUGAAUCUAAUUAACUACUUCCUCCAUUCCAAAUUAUAGGUUGAUUGACUUUUCUAAGUUCGUAAAUAUUACUAUGCAUGCAGAAUGUGUCCUAUCCUAUGCAUAUAGAUAGUACUUUUUAAGUUAGAUAUAUAUCUCCACAGAUGCUUAGCUGGAGCCUCAAUUCUUACAUGUAUAAUGUGUCCUAUCAUCUAAGCCUUGAUCAGGAAGGUUGUUAAGUAUAAACAUGCACUCCCUUCAUUCUAAAUUGUAGGUCGUUUUAGUUUUGUUAGAUUCAUAGAUAUUAUUAUUCAUCUAGAUAUAGUGUAUGUCUAUGUCUAGAUGCAUAAUAAUAACUUUAAAUCUAGAAAAGUUAAAAUGACAUUCAAUUUGGAACGGAAGAAGUACUAAUCAAAGAGAAAAGGAACUUUGUAAAGGACUAGCAACGGUAUGGAUAAGCUGUUGAGACUUGACCCCUACUAUUGGUGAGAUCGACUUGUAGUACUGUUGAGUAAGUACGGUUAUUACAAACCUCGGAGUUUAUUAGUCCGAAACGUAUUAUACUCGCAAUAUGAUUAAAAAAAGGUUGUAAGAUGGUGAAAUAGUACUAAGACACCAUUUGACAUUCAGGUAGACUCUGGUAUGGAGUAUCUCGUUUAGUGAAGUUAAUCCCAGAAUAUUUAUGGCCAGCUCGUAUUUUUCCCUAAUGUGAGCUGUAUGUACAUGGCGACAUUUUGUUUUAUUUUGGACAAGGAACAUUUUUCUUAGUACGGCCCAUUUGUCGCUGGGGAAAUGGGCCUGAGAUGUCUACUGCCCAGCCCAUCAUGGAAAUCAUGUGUGUACUGUCACGCUUGUGAGUCACGCGAUGCCCUUGGAUUAUUUCGCGAUUAUCCUUUCCCUCCUCCCUUGCGUACGCAACGUUCGCUCGUUUCGUUUCGGCUUUUCUGAGGUCUGGCCUGUGGCUGUAUGGUGACGACGACAUGGCUGCGCAGCCACUACUCCGAGUCUCCCGCGAUCCCCUAGCUAGCUAGCUAGAAGUCUCAUCGGCUCAUCGUCGUCAACGCCCAUCGAGAUCAUCUCUAUCCAUCUCUAACCGCGUACUACGACGCGAUCGGGACGUGCACAGAAGUCACCGCUGACGCCGACGACCUCUUUGGUUGGGACUAUCUUUGUAAUACUCGUGUGUCGGAGGAUCUCUCCACACUCGAAUUUUUUUUACCGUUGGAUUGGGAUUGAAUGGCUCUGAUGUAAUCCAAUUUAUCCUUAUCUUCUUCCCCCGACGGAUGACGCCCCCAACCCCGCAACAACGAGCAGCCGUGCAAGUUCGUGGCCCCGCCUAUAGAUGUCCAUGCAGCCCGCGGCCUGUUAGCCCGACACGGAGUUCUUUUUUUUUGUCUGAACCUAGCCCAACCCGGCACAAAAUUCUUCGAGCCCGUGCUGGCCCGGCUCGGUAGCUUGUGGCGGCGUGGGCCUCCACCCCGGCACGACGGGCGGCCCGACCCGGCAUGAUUUUAGGAGGUCGGCCCGAAAUGGCCUGUUAACCACUCAACCUUAUCCACACCAAUAAACCAUCUCACCUACAGUCCGCUCCCUGCCAGGCUCCCUGCCAUCCUCCCUUUCUGCUCAAACACGCUGUCCGCUCCCCUUCCUCUCCAACCUCCGCCUCCCCUCCGGCCUCCGGCGGCCACCUCCCCGGCCUUGUCGCCCCUACCCCCACCGCUCGCCGCCAUGCCCUUCUCCUCCACGGCGGCGUGGGGUUGGCCGCGGGGAGCGGCAGCGGCAGAGUGGAGAGCAGCCGCGGCGGCGGCGCUAGUGGCCGGCUCCGGGGAGCGGCAGCGGCGGCGAGGGGGCCGGCGGCGGCGAGGGGCCCGGCAGUAGCGGCGAUGAGGGGGUGACGGUGGCAGCAUGCAGGAGGAGACGGUGGCUCAGCUGCAGCCUGCAGUGGCGCACAGCACAGGGAGCAGGCCGUGAGGGCCCGUCGUGCCUCACGGUGGCCCAAAGCCGGCCGUGCUUUACGGGCCGCCCGACACGAAAAAGGCCUUGCGAGCCUGUGCUUGGGUUGCCGGUGCAGCCCGUGGGUUGGCACAACAUGGCACGACGUGGCCGUCAUGACGGGCCAGGCCCGGCACGAAAAAUAACGUGCCUUGCCGGGCCCGUGCUAGACCGAGCCGGGCGGCCCAAAUGGACAACUAUACCCCGCCGCCCUCCCCUACCCCUACUUCAGGCGUUGCUCCUCUCGCAUCUUCUUCUUCAAGUCCGGUCGAGCUCCCCCGCUGCCAUCGGCUCCCUCCCCGGCUCCAGCGGCACAACACCGCGGCCGACACUAACUCGUCCUACUCCUGUGCCCCCGCCAUCUCCACUUCCCACCGGGGGUCUCCCUCCGCCUGGCUUCGACGGCGCCCUCGCAGCCUCCGCUCCCCACCAUCUCUCCCGCCUCCAACGCUGGCCGGCGAGCCAUCCCUGGACUCCCUCUAGGCCCGCAGACACAAGUAACCCCAAACCCAACCUCUAAAAGCUCUCCGCCGAGCCCUCCAUUACCGGUGAAGGAGAAGAAGUCAAAAAAUCGAGUGUGAGAGGUGUUCAAAACACUUGAGUAUGAUUUAGCUUUCCCCUUUGGUUUGCAGCCGUGAGGUUUGACGUCGAGGAUGACCGCCCGAGCGUGCAGGCACACUAGUACACUGCACACAUCCACGCCGGCGCUGCGCCCGUGCUUUCGAUCGAUCGGCGCCGUCGGGAACGGUAGCUGCUUGGGCGAAGCGAAACCAUGACUGGUUUUCCGGGGACGGACGACGACGAGGACGGGCGCACGUCAUGGGAGGGAUAAAAGUAUGGCGCAAGUUGGCGAUAAACUAGGGUGCGGUUGCAGGUGCCGCGCGCGGGCUCCGAUCUAGGAUACUCCGAUCCUCGCCAGGUUCAUGCACCGCAUCUUUCUGGAGGGCGCUGCGCAUCCGCAUGCUCCCGCGCAUGUAUAGCUAGCUGCUAGGACUACAUGCAUGGGCGAUGCCGCGGCGACCGCGACUGGAUCCCGGCCGGCCCCCGCAGCCGCGCGCCCCGUCGCUUUCGCAGCGCUGCGCGUAUCAGAGGGUCAGACUCGAUUCCGUCUCAUGAGUGCCGAGUUGCCGACUAGGUAGCAAUCUGUCCAUCGUUGAAUGAGGAAGCCCGCCGGACAGGUCGACGUACACGGUCUGGAUUGCGAGAUUGUCUUGUUAGCGACGCGCGCCUUCGCGGAUACGAUGGACGGUCGAGUUCACAAGAGCAGCUGCCGCACGAACAGUGACGUAGUACACACACGAGCCACUGAAACGAGGCUUUUGUACCUGCUGGAUAUGGAGCAUCUAGGCAGCAGGACCACAGACCGGGGGAAUCCACACCGAGCGACCGCAACCGCAACCUUCUCCGCCUCUCAUCGGGCACCACUGUACCAGCCAGCCUAGCAUAUCCAGCAUGCACGAUCCAUCGUGGCUUGGGCCGGAUGCCACGGAGGACCGUACCGUAGACGGAGGAAUUGUCGUUGGAAUGGCCUUUCAAUUUGGGGGCAGAAGAGAGUGCCGAUAUGAUCGACCUUUAUCACAAUGCUAGCUAGCUUUAGAUCACGUGCACCUCCGGUGGUUGCAGUUGCAGGUGCAGCGUACGUAGGGAGUGUGUAGAGUCGGUAGACGACGCACGAUGCCGUUGAACCGGACCUGUCAUCAGCCGGCAAUGCAAACGCAACCUUUUCGUUUUCGCCUGCCCAUCCAUCCACGGCGUCGGCGGGGGUGCCGCCUGGCCGGGGCAGGCAAGGCAGGCAGGAAUUCCGUUCCCUUCCUUGUUCGGGCAAGGCAGCGAGAGCUGACCAGCCGAGACCCCGAAGAGAUGCCCUACUGGCCUUUCCACUUGCAGCAGCACCUACCCUAGCUAUAGGCGGGCGGGCGGGCGGUCCCCGCGGGCACCCCGCCGCACGCCCCGAGAACCAAUCGGCGGUCGCGGCCUCCGCCUCCGCCCGCUCUUUUAAGCCCAUCACCACUCCCACUUGCAGUUGCAGGCAUCCAAGUUGCCGUAGUUCUACGCGUAAACGCACGCGCGCGCCACCAGCCAAAAAACCCACGACGUCCCGCCCCGGCCACCGCCCGCCCGCGCGCGCGCCUCCUCCCCCUCCCCUUCCCGUUGGCGGCAACUCGGCGUCCUCCAUGAGGCGUUUCCUGCCGGCCCGCGGCGGCGGCGGGGAGCCGUCGUCCUCGUCGUCGUCGGGCGGGCACCAGCGCAGGGAGCUCGCGGGCGAGGCGGGCCUGCGGUACGACGGAGGAGGCGACAUCUCGCUGGGGCACGGGCACGACGCUGGCGGCGGCCACCGCCGCCACCACCACCACCAGCUCGGCGGCGGCGGCGGGGGCCAGGCGGCGGAGAGGCAGCAGCAGGACGACGGGUCCAUGGACAUGCUGGCGCGGCACAGCAGCUCGCCGGCCGGCUUCUUCUCCAACCUCGUGGUGGACAACGGUGAGCCAGCCAAGCAAGCUAGCGCUGAUUGCUAGCGCAGUCAGUGUUAGUUAUCGCCUGCUCCUCUCAAUCGGCUCAUACUAAUUUCCAAAUGUGCCUUUCUCCGUUUCGAUUAAUUUCACCACAUAGUAUACCAAUUGGGGAAGCAGUUUUAGUUUCCGCCAUGAAUCCUGCUUGAUUUCUGCCGCUGAAAUUAGAUGAACCAACAAUGCAUGGCUAACAGCAUUAUAUCCAUCCAUCGAAUCCUUUCGAGAGCGAUGAGCCUGCUUGUUGUGGCUUUGAUUUGAUAGCAGGUAGCGCAAAGGAAAAUCUUCUAGCUAGUGCACCGGCCACUAGCUCGUCAGCUGCUGCUGCAACUUGUUCCGUGUCGUGCACUGGCCAACUUUACCUGCCGAUUUUGGUGAUUAAAGUAGGAGAGCAGGUACAGAAUUUUUGCUAGAAGAGGCCAAGCCGCGGUUUUGCAUAAAACACAUAUGCGCGGCUUUUUUGCUGGCUGCUGCCUCAUUCAGUUGCCAAUUGCCAUGGCCCGUGGAGAGAGCAGCGGGCAUCUUUUACAGUUUCAACUUGCUAUAGCCUUACUUUUAAUGUGCCCAGCAUUUAGGAUGCCUUGGUUUUCAGUCACAUGGUUGUUAACAUGCUGGGUUACUCAGCAUAAAAUUACAAACCCUUACCUACUCUGAGAAGUAGACACAUUUUGCAGCAAAUCUCAAAUUGCGCAAUGCAAAUAAUAUGAUAGUUUCCCCCUCAUAAUAGGGGAUGGAAAACUAAGAGGCGGUACCCAUUGGCGGUUUUCCCUAUUAGGGCCUCCUUGAUAGUGAAAUGUGGGGCCUGAGAUUUCGAAAGCCACACUUUUAUUCUUUUUACAUGUACUUUUGUAUUCACAUGUCCGUGAUAUGUCUCUUUCUAUAAUCCUACUUGCCAAUAUUAAUUAGAUUUCAUUAGCCACUUGCACACACUGCGCUGAUGUGUUCCGCGUCGCUACCUUUCAUUUAUCCAUUCAUUAAUUUGGACUAGCCGCAAAGUCAUUAUGCGCUUAUUGUGUAUAGUCUAUCUUCUGGAAUGCUACACAUAUAUAAUCUUGGAUACAUAGGAGCACCUAAUAAGCAUGAGUUUGUUGGGUUAACCCUUCCUUUUCUUAUUGGCUUCUUUCUUCACUUCCGCAAAAUGAAGCCGUCCAUUUGUUGAAAUUUUCUAGAGUCAAACAUAUAUAUAAUUGGUAGGUUCUAUCAUAUAUAGCAUGAUGAGGGAACUAUUAAUCAUACAUCCUUAACUAUGGUACUAUAUGUGGAAACCAUACAUUUGAAUAUAUGUUAGUGGAUGAGCGUGAUUAGUUGAUGUUGAUGUGAUCUCCUUUAUAUAGUUUAUUUAGGUUGAUAAGAAAACCAUCCCUUUGCCGCAAUAUUGCGUGUACUAUGGUCGUUUGAAAAUAGUGGUCAAAGAUCAUUAUUUCUCCUCCUGUUAUUCUUGAAAUUAAUACUUCUCUACUUUUAGGAAAAAAAAAAGAGAACGCAUACGUACGUAUGCAAAUCCAAGAAGGUUUGAUGCAAAAUCUUAAGAGGCCAUACGUACAUAUAGAAUUUGUUCUCUAUAUACUUGGGGAAAAAAAAGAUUUGUUCUACAUAAAGAGAGAUAUUGUCUACAAAAGUUGCGUGUCUCUUAGCAAAAGUAAGAGACGACUCAUAGAACAUAGUGUAUGUAUGUUAGGUGUUUUUAUAUAUUUAUCAUCCACCCUAUCUGCACACACAAAUCUUUUUAGUUACAAAUCAUUGGAAAGUACAUUUAAUUACAAAUUCAACCAUUUCAAGUUUACAUCACAAAAAUAAAAAAAUAUUGGUUAAAUUAUUGAUAAAGAUAGCAAAGUUUGAAUCUCGAUAUGCAUGUACACCUUAUAAACAUAAACGGAGGGAGUAUCUUUAAGGUGUCUUAGCAAAGAGACAACCUCUAUUUUCUCUUUAAUUAGUAGUAAGAUUUUACUGAUGUGACUAUACUAUUCAUUUUUUUUUUGAAAUAGAGUAAUAUGACUGCAGUUCACGAGACGGCCAAAAUGGCACCAUUCUGCAUGCCCUGAAGACACAGUAUCUACGAAGAAGCAAACCGUAUCCAAGGCUAACGCUACCUUGCCUGAUUCAAACCUGCCAUGUCCGGCCAGUGCUAAACCAAGUGGUGGGUCCCACAUGGCAGGUUGGCUGCUGGUAUUUCUCGAGAGGCGGAACGAACGGAGAGUCUAGAUCCUGGUCUAGAUUGGCCACUUGCGAAAUUACGAGGCAUGCUAGCUAAUUACUGGAUCUUUAAUUAGCGCUUCAAGCCCUAACCAGAGGCGGCCAACUUGCCUUAAUCAAAGGCGGGACCACAUGGCACGCCCACUUGGCCGCGGCGGGCCCCGGCGCUGUCCCCAGUCCAGGUUCAGCUGACGGCUCCACCGUGACGUCACGGCCGUUUUGCUAAAAAUAGUAACCUAGACGCCACUUGCGAAGUGCCCUUGGCGCUUCGUGCGCUCGCAACGUCCACGCCCGACGCUCUGCUCGCUGCUGCUCCUCGCUAGUUGCAACUUGCAAUACCUUUCUGUCCAAUUUUUUUUCGAAAUAAACUUUCUUUCCAUUUUGUUAAUCUCUGUUCAGCUCAUGCAUUAACUAUUUUGGGCAAUUUGAUGAUUUUUAAUUAUACGCGGCUGGUUGGGUUAAACUACGCAGGGUAUCCGGGCUCAAAAGGCGCCGGAGGCAGCGGUGGCGCCGAAGCCAGCGGCAGCGGCAGGAAGAUGAAGCCGUCCCAGUUCAACUUCACCCGGCCGCAGCCAGGCGGCGCCGCGGGCCACCUCUCGCAGAUCUCCGAGGACGGCGCCUUCCCGCCCGGCCUGGUUGGUGACCGCGCUGGCGAGAGUAGUAGCAGCGGUGGUGGCGCCGCCGCGGCGCGCUCCUUCUCCGGCGGGUUCUCCAUCGUCGGGCCGUGGGAGGAGUCCAGGGACAUCAUCGCCACCCUCGGCGCGUACGACUCUCAGGUACUCGCCAGCUUAUAGUAAGUUUCAUGGCGGUGAGUGACGUCGUCGAUCGUCCUGUUGUUCUUGUGUUUGAGGGAUCUAUGUGCAACUGUGCCUGCAGUUUAGCGGCGCCAUGGCGGGCACGGCGCUGGAGAUGGCGGGCAUGGACAGGUACAUGCAGCUGCAGCCAGACCAGAUGCCGUUCAAAGUGCGCGCCAAGCGCGGGUGCGCCACGCACCCCAGGAGCAUCGCCGAGAGGGAGCGGAGGACGAGGAUCAGCGAGAAGCUCAGGAAGCUGCAGGAGCUUGUGCCCCACAUGGACAAGGUAACUUCGACUCCAUCUAAGACAUCACUAAGUAUAGCAUUCAUGAUCGUUGUGCAAAAGUUAUCCCACGCACACAGGUCUAUCGCUUGUACUCCUAUAAGCAGAGUACUGAUCACUCGAGUACUCCCGUCUCAAAUUACUAUUCGCUUUGAUUUCUCUAGAUAUAGAGCGUGUUUGGGACUACUCCGCUUCAGGUUUUGUAACUCCGCUUCAAAGUCAUCUUGCCAAACACUUCCGGCUCCAACAAUACUAACUCCAGAAAAAAAGGUAGAUUUAAGGAUCAAUUCCAAAGCUUUUAUGGAGCUCCUUAGAGGGUGCUCCAAAAACAUAGACUUCGUACCUCAAUACCAUUGAUUACACAAUGUGAGGGAAAAGGAAUCGAUCUCCUUUAUGCCGCCGCCCCCUCCCCUCCCGACUGUUCACCGCCGCGCCGCCCUACCUCUCGCGACACAGUACCGCGCCACCCCUUCUUGCUUGCUCGGGCGUCCAGAAAUCCGGUGCCACCCCUUCUUCGAUGAAAUUCGUCCAAACCAAACACCAACUCGUCCUGAGCCUUUAACAAAAGUUGGAGCUGGUACAAAUAUCUACGAGUAAUAGAUAGAACUUUUGCUUCAAAGAUCAAUGGAUUUAAAGAUACGAACCGCUGAAAUCUGGACAAAAACACGAGUUCCUUCUAAACCUUUAGACUUGUCCGUCGGUAACCCAGGAAAUACUGAACAAUGUAAAGUUCAUUCUUUGACCUCCAAUUUAAAUAUCCAAACUUAUUUUUCUAUACUCAAGAACUACUGAGAUAGGUUAACCAUAUAUCACACGUCCCAUUUUGAGUAAACUUAUUCAAAGUUUUAGCCACUGGGGGCACUGUAGCAGUUGGGUAAUGUAGCUUGAGAAAACAAACCCCAACCCCAACCAAGGGUAAUAGGAAAAUAAACCCCAACCCCAACCAAGGGUAAUAGGGUAAUAGGGACUAUUCCGAUACGAUUUCUGGAGCUGGAGUUUACACCAUUAGCCAAAUAGGUUCAUAACUCCCUAUUUUUCUGGAGUUGGUGGAGUGGAGCUACAAAAAAGUGGAGUUGGUGGAGUGGAGCUGUUUUUUUUAAGCGAAGCAGUCCUAAACAUGCCCAUAGACAGGUGCACAUCAAAAACUAUGUAUCUAAAGAAGCCAAAACGAAUACAUAGCUAAUGGGCUUCUCUAGUAUUCGUUUUGAUAUGGCAAAAGAAAAUCUAACUGAUGAAGUGAUCUAUGAUCUUGUCUAUAUGGUGCAAACAGCAAACGAGCACCGCCGACAUGUUGGACCUUGCAGUGGAGCACAUCAAGGGCCUGCAGAGCGAACUGCAGGUAAGAAUGCAUGUCCACCUUUCAGCUGAUCACGUACAAGCGGCCAUUUUCGACAGCACGUCAAUUUGAUGUGUGUUUUGAACCAUGAGGCGUUACUGAACUUCGUUCCUGUCUGCAGGCUCUGAAACAUGAGCAGGAGAAGUGCACCUGCUGCAGAAAGCGCUGACGAUGCCUUUAUUUCCUCGAGAGGAAUUGAUGUACAUGGAUGAAGCUGUUUUAACAUCGUCAUUGAUAGAUUCUCUGCUGAGAGAGUCCUAAAUUUUAGUUAGCAGUUAGCACAUGGGAGUGCCGAUGGAGCAUGCAUGCAUAAUUGCUGUCAAAUGGGUGCAUGUGCAAAUUGUGCAUGCAUGAAUGGAGCUCCGCCAGCCGUUUCCAAGUAACCACACACCACCAGUGGUCAACUAGGCAGUGCAAGAAAGGGCAGAGGUUCUGUUCUGAUAAUUUGAUUAUUGAUUUUGUGUGUGUUUCUGAUUGAUCUUUAACUUGAAUUUUAGAUCCCUUUUUAGUCCAUCUGAAAACAUUUUGCUAUUUGUAAGCUACCUGAUCUUGUUUUCUUAAGAGCAAAUUACUUUAAAAAUUUGUACAUGGUCAUUGAUUUUGUAUAAGGAUCAAAUGUGUUGUUUGACUGAAUGUUAAUUUCAAUGGAUGAACAAAGAUGCAGUAGCAGCAGCAAAGGAACCAUAUCUCAGUUUUACACUGUACGAUAGUUGGAGAACGUAUAGGCGCCAUGAACCGCUGGCGUCCACGGUUAUGCAUGUGCAAUAAUGUCUUAUAUAUGUAUUCUGUCAUGUAUAUGUAGCUUGAGUGAAAUAUUAUCUGGCAGCAAAUGAGUUUUCUACGCUCUAGGUUUCCGUUAUCUGAAAUUAAAAUUACCGAUCAAGAUCGUGCAUCUGAACUCACUUGGAGGAUUAUGAAACGGUAACAGAAAAUGGGCCAUGUGCUAAGUAGGAACUCAACUUCAUUUUAAGUGACCCUAUUAGCCCCUGAUAAGUACAAAGAUAAAACUUUCAGAUCAUUCACUUGCAUUCAGCCCAAACACUUCAGCUAUAGGAGGUGCGUUUAAAAUUUUGGUUUGGAGAACGAAUGCGUUCAUCCACCACCACCUCAUCCCUCACAAGCACAUGCGUGAUUAUACCUUGAUAAUGGAAUUAUUUCAUCCAACCAAAAUUCAUAAGAUAACAUAAUAAACCAUUCUAUUCUGGUGGUUCCUAAAACGAAAAAUCCCAGAAAUUCAAUAAUUCAUCAAUCCCUCCUGCCCUGCAGUCAAACUAAACCUAAUUUUGCAUAACUGAAGAAGGGCAACUAUGCAAAGAUCCAGGAAAAUUCGUACCACCUUGACAAUUUGACUGAGAAUUAGCAUCAAAAGAAGAAACAAAUAAGACUAGCUACGCAAUUGCACAACAUCUUGUUAUUGAAACAUAGAAACAAAUAAGGCUCGGCUUAUGAUUGAAGUAUUUGGUUUGCAUUAGCUCCCUUUACAUCGACAAACAAUCGUGCUACACUGAACAUAUGAAGCAAAAAUGUAAGAACACCAACUAUAGCUGUGACACUAAUUAAUCUAAGCUGCCCGCCGAUGUUGAGGUACGCGGGAACUCUACCGGCGCCGGGGACGCGAAUCCCUUGUGGUAGAGCAAGUCGGUCAUGACCCUGUACGCGCGCUGCGUCAGGUGCACGCCGUCCCAGCUGAUGCGCUCCUCCGGCCUCGCGCACACCGACGCGCCCGGCGCGCCGCACAUCCGCUCCAUGUCGAAGUUAUACUCGCCGCCGCCGGCGCCGCAGCACGCCUUGGUCACCGCGCCCUCGUCGAACCCCGUCUUGCCGGCGUCCCUCAGCAUCCGCACGUACGCGUAGAAGUAGUCGGCGUAGGCGAUCGUGGCGCUCGGGUAGGACCGGCGCAGCUCACGGAUCUCCUGCUGCAGCAGCACGUUGUGCAUCUGGGCGAACAGGUUGAGCGACAUGAGGCAGCCGUUGGCGUCGUAGGCCGCCGGGUCCUUCUCGUUCACGGCGGACAUGUAGCUCGGCACGCAUCCCAGCGGGAAGUUUCCCGGGAUCACCAGCCGCGUCGCGCCCAUGUCGAGGAGCUCCCUGGCCGUGCUCGUCACGGACUGCACCACGUCGGGGACGAGCGCCAUCGCCUCGACCACGCCGGUCGCCAUGCGUCCGAAGUUGUAGAGGUUGCGCUCGCCAUUGCCCGCUGGUUUGUUCGCGGAGAAGGCGUAGUUGUAAUCGUUGCCGCCGAUCUCCCCCACCAUGACCAGCGAGUGGGACAGCUUCUCGCGCAUCUCCUGCGGCGACCGGGUGUUUGCGUUCAUGAAGUCCUUGAACUGCUGCAGCUGGACGGCCAGGGAGGUGUUGGUGUGGGGAACAGCGACCCCUCUCCUCGCGAGCGCCGCCGCGUCGAGGGCGGUAGCACCGGCGACGGCGAAGUUCACGCCGUGCGUGAAGUCGGCGCCCUUGUCGAGGUACGGGUUGAGAAGCGGCAGGCCGAGGUCCUUGGCGAGGAAGUCUAUCAUGAGGUACCCGUCGGAGCACCGGCCCGUGGCGCCGCCGAUGGCGGAGCCGUAGGGAGGACCCAUGCUGUGCCGCAGCAUGCCGGUGGCGCCUUCGCGGAGCAGGUUCCCGGUGUCGGACAGGGAGUCGCCGAAGUUGUAGAUGGCCGUGACGCCGUCCGCCGCCGCCGCCUUCUCUUUGGCUGGCAGCUUGUUGGGUGCCUGUUGCGGCGCUGGCCUUGCGUGGCACGGGCCGACGACGAGGAGCAGCGCCAUGAACGCGACGAGCAGGGUGCGAGCCAUGGUUGCCAUGGGGCGCUAAGCACGUUGGUCUUUCGCUUCGGUGUGGAGAGGUUUGAGGCCAGGCAGGUUCCUUUUAUUGGGCGCGAUGGGAUCAAUGGAGCCGCUUCGCCUAGCCGAUCGGACUAGGAAACGCGAGCGUCGUCCGAGUCGGAGACCGAUCAGCAAGCGGAGUUCACCGCGUGGACGUCUUGGCGCACGAAUCUCCAGGUGUAGUGAUCACCGGCGGCACCGCUUGACGGACGGUGCCUGUGCGAGUGUUUGAUGCAUACCGCAUACCCUGGCCGAGCCCAAAAUCCGUGCGCUGACGUAGUUCCGGUAUCUGCGGAUAAGAAUAAGAUCAUCGGCCAUUGUUUAUAGUUCGAGGAUUGGAGCUCUCUGCACUUUUCUGAUCCUUCUGCAUUAGUGUUCUUCUGCACUUUUCGAAGCUGCAAUCAAACAUAGAUAAAAUCCCGCGACUUCAUCGAUAACAGUGCAACUACUUGCUAUUAAGCAGAAACAUGCAUGUUCACUUCAGCUUAUCAGUCAGCUUAUCAAACACCGAAUAGUAUUUUUCUCUCACAACAAAUCAGCCAUUUCAGCUUUUCAGCCGGCUUAUAAGUCCAACCGAACAGGCCAUAUUAUUUCCACAAGUAUACCCUGAUGACAUGAUCUCAAGAGGCUUCUUCUAUAGUUCUAUUCUGCAUAUGCUUCAUCGGGGGUGCUGCCGCAGACCUGCGGUCACCCCCUAUUUCUAAUUUAUUUCUCAAUAAAUAGAUGUACAGGCUACAAAAAGUGUAGGGAUGAUGUGCUCUACGUGUACGUACACUGUAUGCUUCGGUUGCUGCAUGAAUUGCAUGUCUCACUUUACAAAACAAACUACAGAGGCUAGGCUAGAGCCCUACUCCUCGGCAGGAGGGUCCACCCACCGGCCGUUGUCCUUGAUCAGCUGGAUCAAGGCGUCGGUGGCGCCUUCCAUGGCGAUGCCACGUUGCACGACGGUCUGCAGAGAGAAAGAUGCACAUUCUGUAUUAGCCGGAGACCGGAGAAGGAAACCAGAAGCUUCAGGACGCAUGACUGCAGGUGGUGAACAUUUUUCGUGCUAUCAAAAGUUCACAGUACCAGACGGUGUUUCUUGAUACCACAAAUCCACAGCUAUUGCUCAACGACAAAUGCAGCAAAAGUUUCCAUUUCGUAUAUAUGAUGAUUGUGGCACCCAAGCACUGGAUGGUUGGUUACCUUGCCAACGUAAAGAUCGAUCUUUCCAGGAGCACCUCCGACGUAUCCAAAAUCAGCAUCGGCCAUCUCUCCUGGCCCAUUGACAAUGCAACCCAUGAUAGCGAUCUGCCAGGCAAAUACGUAUACCGUUGAUCAGUAUAAUUGAUACUUCCUCCAUUUCAAAUUAUAGGUCAUUUUGAUCAAAUUGUAGGUCGUUUUGACAUUUCAAAUUAUAGGUCAUUUUGAUCAAAUUGUAGGUCGUUUUGAAUUUUCUAAGUUCAUAGAUAUUCCAUUAUUAUGUAUCUAGAUAUACACUAUAUCUACGUGCUAGCAAAGACUAUGCACUAAAAAACUAAAACGACAAUUUAGGACGGAGUGAGCAGUAAAGUGAAAUACAUAUACAGUUGAUCAGGCAUAUCAGCAUCACGAGAGCUUACCGAGACGCCUGGCAGAUGAGAGGUCUUUUCUCUAAUCUGAGCACUGAUUUCCUGAAGGUCGAAGAGUGUUCGCCCACACGAAGGACAAGACACGUAUUCCUGCAACAUUCAUUAGCAGUCAAAAAUCACUUUGACAAAAUCUAUGAAACAUCAACAGUUGUUUUUUAGUAUGGCCGAUUUUGAAGUUUUUUUUCUGUAUGUUGUAGGGAGAGUGCUGCGGCUUAAUCACUACAAGUCUCCAGAGGUAGCCAUGCUAUUUUAAACAAAAAUACAUCAACGUACAGUUUUUGUGUUGCGCAUUCUGCAACCCUGAAGUAAGUUGAAAGAUGUGUCCCUCAGGAACUCAAAUUCCUGGUCAGCAGCUUCAAGAAGUACACCAUCACCAAGACCAUCGACUAGGAGAGCACCAACAUUGGCCCCGGCACCAAUGACAAGAGCAUCUCUGCAGUUAAUUGGAUUAGAAUAAGCACAAGAAAACCAGGUCUCAACAAUUCAAAGGGGUUCGAAAAUAGGAAUGUUGACAAUCACCUGUCAAUGGUUUUGGGGAAAUCUAUGUGAUGGAUUACAGGAAAGUUCAAGCCAUUGGUCUGUAAGUACUCAAAUAACCUGCAAAGCAUGAAAAUUUAUAAGACACUGUAAUCAAAAUGAACGAAAAAGCCUUAGGGAACAGUGUUGCUAAGCAUGGAUACAUGAUAAAUAAAUGGCUCCCAAACAUGUGACCCAUUUAAUAGAUUGAUCCACUGUGUUUGCUUACCUCCUAGCAGCAUGUACUCUACCAGUCCUCUCCUCACCAUAUGGAACAUUAUGUAGCAGCAUUGUUAUAUCAUCAACACCCUUAAGGAUAUCUAGCUGCUCGUACGAUUCAUCUCCGCGAAUAGUGACAGCAAGUCUGGUGCCUACACACACCAAAAAAAGACAAAAAAGGCAAACAAAACAAGAUAUUAAAUACUCCCAACGAGAGAAAAAAAGAACCACAAGCAACAAUAUAAUAGUUAAUGCAAAUCAUUACCUUCUGGCAAAAGUUUGUGAGCACCACUUGACAGUUCGUCAAGGUUGACAAGCGCAAUUGCAUGUGGGAGUGGCUUUGUCAACUGCUCCGAUAAAGGGGUCAACACGCCCAUGCUGAUGUCAACUAAUCUUUUAAGUGCAAGCCUCUGUAUACAUUGACAAAAUUAUAACAGAUAACUAAGAAAGGGAAUUGAACGUUAUGCACUUGUGAUGGGGAUGAAGAAAUGGUGUAACUCACAGCUUCAGUAUCUUCUACAGGGGGGAGCUCCCUCAAAAGAAUGGAAUCUACAGUAGCAAGGUCCUGAUGUUCAUAGAAGAAAUGAAUCAGUUUAAACUCAAUGCCCAUAAAAAAAAUAGUCAUGUGAUAGCUCAUAAAACCAUAUAUCAGACCUUGAAAGGCAUGCCAACCACAAGCUUCGUUGCAAGAGACCUAUAAAGGAGCUCAGGAGCCUGGCAAAUAAAAGGAAUUUUCAUCAUUACAGAGCACAUUUAUCUGAUGGCCAGACAAUAAAGAGUGAUUCUAAAACCUAUUUUCAAAAGCUAAAUGCCUGGAAAACAACAAAUAUACUGCUGAAUAUAUACUUCAAAUGGAUUACAGAUUCAAAUUUACAGAUGCUAAAAUUUCUUCGUAUAGUUAUACAUAUUGUAGAAAAUUCCAAAAAGAAGGGUAGGAAUGGUGCAGGUUACCUUCAACUGAUCCAAGGAAACUGACAUCAGUACAGAGCCAUCACGAUGCAGGACAUUUCUGUAGUCAACUUCCUCACCCUGUCAUAAGAGCAACUGAUGAGAAAUCAAGCACUAUUAGUUUUUAUGAUCAGACCAUAGAAUUAUUGUUUUAACCAACCUCCUUCUGCAAAGGCAAUUGACCACUCCUACGCUGGAAAUCAAAAUAAUGCCUGUGCUUUUCUUCAAAUGGGGCCUGUGAAUACAAGAUAAAUAGCAAAAAAAAUUAAGAAAUGUUUAAGGGAAAGCACAAGUAUUAAGGACUGAAAUUUACUGUGUUGUGACAGAAUAAGGGGAAAGUACGCAAAGUGAAAGUGCAUUACCACUCCGAUUUGAAGGUUGGCAGCCUGUGUCCCAAGAUUUGCCAACCUUUGGCAAGGAUCGAUCUCUUCUUCUGGUGGUUCCGUGAGGGAGACACGGAUUGUGUCACCCAAGCCAUCCUGUAAUACAACAAGCAGAAGAUAUAGUCCUAUUCCUUUUGUAGAACUUGCCGGUUUCCACAUAAUUAAAUCCAUUCACAGGAAACCACUAGUCUUGUACUUCUAUUAUGUGUCAGCGAAUAGCAUGGCAAAGGUCCCGAAACAUACCAUAUACAACUUAUACAAACAUGAUACCAAAAAUAUUCAUCUUCACAACUUUCAAUUGUGAGCUCCAAAAAGUGAAGAUACUCUUCAUCCAGUGAAAAGGCUACCACUUCCAUGCUCUUAUUUCAUUUCUAGAAUACUCAUAUGAAACAGAUUUAACUUCAUACGACAGAACUAAGUAGUGAAGCAAUUACCAUUAGAAGUGUUCCAAUGCCAAUAGCAGACUUCAUCCUUCCAUCUUCACCCUCUCCAGCUUCGGUAACACCCAAGUGCAAGGGAUAAUCCCAUCCUAGGUUAUACAUUUCUGCAACAAGCAGGCGAUAUGCUUGGACCAUGACAACAGGGUUACUAGCUUUCAUUGAAAAUACAAAGUUGUGAAAGUCCAACUUCCGACAUAUCCUAGCAAAUUCCAAAGCAGACUCAACCUGCGAUAGUAUGCAGAAAAUGUCAAGCAUCUACAGGCUGAUGGUUAAAUAUAACCUCAUAAAUGAGAUAAUCACCAUUCCCCGUGGAGAAUCACCAUAGUAACUCAUUAUGCGGUCAGAGAGACUUCCAUGAUUUGUUCCUAUGCGCAUUGCUCUCCCAUACUGCUUGCAUUUCUCAACUAAUGGAGAAAAUACCUGAAACGGGAUUAAAGUGGCUCUGUAAGUAAGAUAACCUAUUAUAUGUUCAUAUUGAUUAAAACAAGACUAACUGAGAGACAAAUUUUCAACCUUCUCAAUAUGCUCAAGCUCUUUUUGGUAAUCGUCAUCUGUAUAUUCCAGCUGCUCAAACUGAGCCCGACGAUCAGCUGCAAGUACAUUUCUCAGUAUUUCAGAAUGAAACGAGAACAUAAACAUACUAAAAUCAGUGUUGUCAAGAUUUCACUCACCAAAAUUUCCGGGGUUCACACGAAUUUUGUCAAAGCAUUCUGCCACUCUUAAAGCUACCGUAGGAGCAAAAUGAAUAUCGGCUACUAGUGGAAUGUUGUAACUGUAUGAACAGAAUGAAAAAUGUGAGGACUCAAGUAUGUGAACACACUGAAUGUGAGGAAAAUGACAGCUUACUUCUUCUGAACCAGGGUGUUCUUGAUCUCAAAGCAGGCAUCAGCCUCCUUCUUACCCUGGACGGUUAUUCUAACAAUAUCAGCUCCUUUAUCUGCUAUCCUCAUCACCUGAAAGGGUGUGAAUUACAUCUUCUAUUAGCAACCUAUACACAAAACAGAAAUCCUCUGAAAAAGGGGUGACUAAUUCAUUUCUCAUAUCUAUGUUCUAUAGAGAAUACUAAGUACAACCAACAUGAACUUCAGAUGGGAUGCACCUCUUCUACAGUUUUGGCAACAUCCUUGGUAUCUGAAGUCGUCAUGGUCUGAAUCCUUAUGGGAUGAUCACUACCGAGUGGGACAUUCCCCACCAUUACAGUACGAGUUUUUCUUCUCCUUGUCUGGUGUAUAGAUUCACAGUACUUUUGCCUGGGGACUAAAGAACAGAAGAAAAUCUCAGUUAGAAGAAGGAUCGCAUAGAUUAAAUCUGGGACAAAUCCCUUGACCUGAAAUAUACACAAUUACACAAAUACAAACAUGCAAGGACAAUAGAGCACGCAGAUCAUACCUAAAAGUGGGCUUCCUUCUGAUGAUGGCUCCAGCUCCAUAGUAUCUGAACCAGUACUCGAGCACUUCACCACAAGCGCCCUGCCCCUCGAGGAGCCUGUCCUUGUAGUUCCGACGCCAGGAACAGACAAGACCUUAGCAAAGUCGACGCUCCUGGUGAAGCCGAUGCCACCAUCGCGCACCCUGACAUGUGGGAGAGGGGCUGGUGCCACGCCGGUGGCCAUGGCCGUGCCCAAGCAGCAGGAGCUCAGCUAGGCAAUUCUACAAACACCUGCAGGACAAACCAACAAGUGGUGAGGGGAGCACGGAGCACUGGCCACUGAUCCUGAUGGGCACAGGUGGAAUAUACCCCUAUCGCUGGGUGAGCAAGAACAGGACAAAUAUGGUGUGGGCUACUAAACAUGGGCAUUUAACAAUUCGUGCACUGAAUUGACAACAUGUUUUGCAUAAUAGGUCGCAUAAAAAAAUUUAGCAAACUCGAAUCAAGCGCCUUUCCUGGUGAAGGUAGCGAGAAAAACAAUAGUUCGGAGACGAAAAUGGCGUAGAUCCUUAUUGGCAAACGAGUAGGAGAAAUGCUCAGCUCAAAACCUUCCUAAUCCCAAGAGGAUUCUACUGAAUUCGAUCGAACUACAACCUGACAAACUAACUGUGAGUGGGUCCUUCAUUUCCUCCCACCCACAAAAUCCAAAUUCCCCAAACCAGAGCAAGCAAACUUCUAUAAAAUUGGCUCCUGAAGCACCCAGCACUGAUUCAACUAUCCCAAGGCCCAAGCUGCAGAGGAGAAUUCAGCCAAACCAAGCAUGAAUCCCGCCCCAGCCACACAGCAGGCAGCACACAACCAACGCGAUCGGACAUCGGAGGCAGCAAGCUAGCAAAUCUCACCAAACCUCGCCGAUUCGUGUCGCGACGACACCUCCCGCGCCCGCUCACUUUCGGCGGCCACCACCGCCACCGCGAGCGCGGCGAAGCAGAAAAGCGAGCGCGAGUGCGCGAGUUUUUUUUUUCCUCCCCAGAGCAGCCGGGCAGGAGGUAGAGGCCAGAGGGCUCGUGGCAGUGGCGCGCGAGUUCGUGGUGGGUUUCUACUGGAUAGCCCCCUUUUAUCUCCAAGCCGCAGGGGGCGCCCGGGGAUCCACGUGCACCGGGUCCUGGAACACCUCUCAGGCCAUGUCCCUCUGGCUCUCCGGGCCCGACGACGCGUGCGCACGGGUGCUUGAGGACCCGGUGCGGGGAGGUGCGGCGGGCGAGGAGGGGCCGGAGGUGUGGAAGUGGGAGUUCCGGCCGCUGGCGCUGCCCGCCAUGAUUUUAUCGUGUCCGUCGUUUUCCCAUGAGACACGAGUCCAGUUUAUUUUUACGAAGGAAAUUCGUAGCGGUGUUUUUUUAUGAAGAAUUCGUAGCAGCGUCUGUUAGCUCGCUGCGUGUGUUAGCCAAGAAACUUUUGUUAUCGUUGUUGCAGGCUUGAUUGAGGACGGAGUUCACGAAUGUUCUUGGGAGAUGCAGACGGGAUCUUCAAAUUUUUUUCCCCCAAUUUACACUGUUCAGUCUAUUUUACUUUCAUUAUGACUCGACAAAUUUUUGUUUUCCUUGUGUUCACUGUACAUUUUACUUGAUUUCGAGCAGCAGUAGUAUCCGGCAUGCACUUCGGACUUUACUCUGACGAGGAGAGAAAAUGCUUCGAUUGAUCCCAAAAAAACACAAAGUGCGCUCGGCGCUGUCAGUCGUCAAGCCCACAUGUUCAAGGUAAGAAGAACGUGCGCCUCUGGUCACGCAUCGACUCGCCUGUUGGUGCUCUCUUUUUUUCCUUGGAGCCUUGGAGGAUUCGGCGUGCGCGAGAGAGAGUUGGAAGAACGGCGGGGCCGCCCGUGCCGCGCCGCCAUGACAGGGGUGUGCGUGCAGCUGCCGGACGGAGACCGGAAGCUGGCGAGUCCACACCACAUGUGUUGACCUGAAACGGAGCUCAGCGCACGUUCUGGUGUUCCCGUCCAAGCGCCAAGCACAUGUGGGAGAAGAUUUCACAACACAUGUUUCGCGCUGGGGACUUGAAACUGGGCAAGACUGACCAGAUCCUUAAGAACUCUAACUUUGGUCCUGCCGUAUGGUACCGGUAGAAGAGUGUGAUGUUUUUGUCAAGGCCUGGCCUAUUCUUCAGGAUGUUCUUGCCUCCGACCACAAGAACACCGAAGAGAAGUGGAAGUUUUCGUCCUAGAAAAUAAAUACAGAAGUUUUCCCUGCAAGAAGGUUGCGCAACUUUGCAUUAAGAAAAAUAAUAAUGCAAGGGUUCUACACAACGCGCAUCACCGAAUCGAGCGCACGGCGGGUGGCCGAGGCCCAGUUGUUGUGGUUUACAUGAUCGAUCGAAACAACCUCGAACAGCUAACCAGGAUGACAGAGCUUUCACGAGUGAAGACCAGAUUGAGAUGGCUGGUAUAGAGGUUGCCAAAUUUUGAUAACAAAUCAAACAGUGGCUAAAAAAUUGGCUUGCCAAAAUUUUGGCAUGCUAAAAUUUUAGCAACCAACCAAUCAGAUCGUAAGACUCGCACUGUCGUAGAAUUGCUAGUUUUCUCUCUUUUCUUUUUCUUUCCUUUUGUUUUCUUUCUUUUUAUUUUUGCGUGAAAAGAGUAGAGCUGCUAGGUUGGCCGAGAGAAGGUAGGUCGGAGGCUGGCAGCAAACGCAGAUGAGGUUUUGCAAGCCGCACAAGUAUAUGACAUCGUAAUCGUAGUAUGGCGCACCAUUUGCUAUCGACAUGACAACCAGCGCGCAACAAACAGUUACAUCGAAGCACGAUGCCCUGGUGAUGCCAGCAUCUCCUGACCCGGCGGCCACUCAUCGGCGUCGAGUACGCGAUCGGCCCCUAUGCAUGCGGGAGCGGUUAGCUAUCACCAUAGACGAUAAAUUCGUCACUUGUCGCCUGAAGGAUGGAGCACACAUGCACUCUUAGUAGAAAACUAGAUUGACAACAUCACAUGUAAAUUUGAAAUUUAAAAAGUCAUAAAUUAAGCAUCCAAAUUAAAUUCCGAUUGCAUCACUGUUUUUCAUUAUUUCUUAAAAAAGAUCUUUAAAACACACUCGACUAUAUUUGGAUGAUUUUUUAAAAAUAUAUUUUUUAAUACAAAAUAUUAAAUUUGAUUACCGCGAACAAAUACUUGAAUAACUAGAACAAAUAAUUAUAUAACAAGAACAAAAAAAAUUACAAAAUGAACAAGUGAUUAUAACUAACAAAUAAAAUACUGAACAUCAAAGAAGUUUGUAUGAUGCAAAUAAAAAAGACGUGUCCGAGUAUAUUGUAAACAAAAUAUUGAAAAUUUAAUGGUGCAAGACAAAACAAUAGAAUAUGAAAAUCAAGUUAAAAGAUUAUUUUAAGAUACGUGCACCUAGAACAAAUUAUAAUAACUCAAGGAACAAAACAUAUUAUCGAACAACUUAUAUGAACUCACGGAACAAAAAUAAAUACAUCCGGAACAAAUUAUAUGAACUCACAGAACGAAAUAGAAGUACCCAUCAAACAAAUUAUAUAAACUCAUGGAACAAAAGAUCUAUAUACCUCGAACAAAUUGCAAGAACUCAUAGAACAAGUAUUUAUACACCUCGAACGAAUUAUGUGAACUCAAUAAAUAAAAAAUUGUACACUUGGAAAAAUACAUUAUGAACAUAUAAUAUUAUUUAAUCCACAGGUCUACAUGGUUGAAUAGUUUAGUCUUAAAUAAUUUGGCGCACAAACAAAUAAUCUGAAUUAAAAUAUAAAAAUAAAUUAGUAAUUAGGUAAGUAAUAAAAAGGAAAACAAAACAAAAGAGAAAAAAGAAAGAAAAGGGAACGAGAAAAGAAAAUAAGAUGAGAUGAGAUGAAGUAAAAACAAGAUAAAUAAAAGAAAUGAAAAAAGUGCAAUAAAAUAUAAGAAAAACAUAAUAAAUAAAUAAAAGGGGAAAAUGAUAAAUAGCGUACCGAGAAGGAAUAUCUACCAGAAGGUUAGAAAUAAAAUAGAAGAAAAAAUAGGAAUGAAGAAUAUAGAAAAUGAAAAGCGGAGAGAAAUGGAAAAAAGCAAAAGGGACAAAGGUGUAACGUACGUCCCUAUGGAUUAGAAGAAAAGUUAAAUAGAGAGAAAAUGAAGGAAAUAAAUGGAAAAUAAAAGUAGACUAAAAAGAUUAGAAAAAAAUAAUCUAGUAACGGAAGGUAAAAAACGAACGGAAUAAAAUUACUUACGGAUAGAAAAAAAUGAAAAGAGUGAAAAACAAAAACGAAAAAAGGAAGAUUUUACGUAAAAAAAAGUAACCGCUCGGCUCGCGUCAUCAGCUAACGCAGCGCAGGCCAGCAGCAGCUGGAAUUGGCCGGCACCAGCAUUUCGGAACGUGAAUGCGAUAUGGGCUGGCAACAGCUUUGAAUGCGAUAUGGGCCGAAUUCACGCCACCAGCCCACGCGGAAUCCUUCAGGCGACAGAUAGAUUGCUGUCGCGUAUGCAACGCAUAGUCGCUGAGACUCUACAAUUGAAUUAAGUUCAUGUUUUAUGUGCAAAAUUUUCGGAUAAAACAGCUAAUAUUAGAUGGACUUCACGAGCUGAGGGGCCAGCACCCAUGCAGCUCCGGCCCUGGCCUCGUGCACGAGCUGCGUCGGGUGAAUGCUGUCCUAGCCGCUCACGACCUGAUCACGUACCGGUCGGACCCGUCGCGUUUGUCGUGACAUGCUAGCUCGGGAUGCACCCGAUCGGGAUCGAAAUUGCCCGAGAUGACCAGCUGGUCCAGCAAGUUGAUCGGGAUCGGUGGCGCCUUCACGGAUGAGAUAGCCGUGAUGCCAUCCACCGUCGUCGCCGCCGCCACCGCCACUCCAAGGCAGCAGGAGGAGGAGCACGCGACGAGGAGGAACGCCACGAGCCUACCAGCACGCGGCGUCCCAGGAGACGGGCUUAUGACCACCUACGCGGCGUCCCAGGAGUCACAGGAGGCUAACGCAAGCAAGGUGAUUUAAGUACCCGACGCUAGCUCAAGCUAUAUGUUCAAUUUACUCAUGAGAUUUAGCGAGAAGCCGAGAAGUUAUUGUCAUUGUACAUUCGAGCGUGCAAGGUAACCGAAGAGGAAAGAGUAUCGGCCAUCUGGCUUAGAUGCCGGACCUGUCGUUUCGAAGAGUGUCCGCCCAUCUGGCAAGAUGCCGGCUUGUGUGGUCUGGUAAGUUUUGCGAGCACGCGACUCCAAAUCUCCAAUACGCUCCAUUGCCGAUUCCGCGCUUGCAGGUGUAGGUAGCGUUGCUUCUGGGUUGUUGUCACGCUGGUCAGGCCGGCGGUUAGUGGUGCCACGGUCCGGUCAGGCCCAUGGAAACAGAAUCCUAGGAACCAUAUCCGGAGGAAACGAGAUGCAGUGGUAUAAUAACCAGUAAAAAGCAAAUGCGAGAAAUUGCAAAUUGCAUAUUUAAGACUCAGAAGUACUAUUAAGCUCGCGAGCUAAUAAAAUACAUCCUCCUUGAAAUACGUGUCGUUGUUGAUUUUUCUUGCUACGGUUGACCAUUUGUGUUAUUCAAAAAUCUGAUAAAGUAAGUCAUGCUUAAAAUGCCUAUGAUGGUGAAGUGUCACAAACAAAAUACAUGACACUUACAUAUUUCUUUUUUACCAAACAUCAUGACCAAAAGUCAAUAAUAUUUUCAUACGGAGGUAGUACAGGAAGAAAUAAAGAUGGAACUAUAGAACUACAAUUCACAAGCCAUCUAACUAAACUCUAAAUCUCUAAUGAAGGACGCCCGUUGAUCGUCAGGUACGCGGGAACUCUACCGGCGCCGGGGACGCGAAGCCCUUGCGGUAGAGCAAGUCGGUCAUGACCCUGUACGCGCUCUGUGUCAGGUGCACGCCGUCCCAGCUGAUGCGCUCGUCCGGCCUAGCGCACACCGACGCGCCCGGCGCGCCGCACAUCCGCUCCAUGUCGAAGUUGUACGCGCCGCCACCGGCGCCGCAGCACGCCUUGGUCACCGCACCCUCGUCGAACCCCGUCUUGCCGGCGUCCCUCAGCAUCUGCACGUACGCGUAGAAGUAAUCGCCGUAGGCGAUAGUGGCGCUCGGGUACGACCGGCGCAGCUCUCGGAUUUCCUGCUGCAGCAGCACGUUGUGCAUCUGGGCGAACAGGUUGAGCGACAUGAGGCAGCCGUUGGCGUCGUAGGCCGCCGGGUCCGUCUCGUUCGCGGCGGACAUGUAGCUCGGCACGCAUCCCAGCGGGAAGUUUCCCGGGAUCACCAGCCGCGUCGCGCCCAUGUCGAGGAGCUCCCUGGCCGCGUUCGUGACGGACCGCACCACGUCCGGGACGAGCGCCAUCGCCUCGACCACGCCAGUCGCCAUGCGCCCGAAGUUGUAGAAGUUGCGCGCGCCGCCGGUCACCGGCCUGUUCUCCGAGAAGGCGUAGUUGUAGUCGUUCCCACCGAUCUCGCCCACCAUGACCAGCGACCGGGCCAGCUUCUCGCGGAUCUCCUGCGGGGAACGGGUGUUGGCGCUCAUGAAGUCCUUGAACUGCUGCAGCUGGACGGCCAGGGAGGUGUUGGUGUGCGGGACAGCGACCCCUCUCCUCGCGAGCGCCGCCGCGUCGAGGGCGGUGGCACCGGCGACGGCGAAGUUCACGCCGUGGGUGAAGUCGGCGCCCUUGUCGAGGUACGGACUGAGCAGCGGCAAGCCGAGGUCCUUGGCGAGGAAGUCUAUCAUGAGGUACCCGUCGGAGCACCGGCCCGUGGCGCCGCUGAUGGCGGAGCCGUAGGGAGGGCCCGUGGUGUACUGGAGCAUGCCGGUGGCGCCUUCGCGGAGCAGGUUCCCGGUGUCGGACAGGGAGUCGCCGAAGUUGUAGAUGGCCGUGAUGCCGUCCGCCACCGCCUUCUCCUUCGCCGCCUGUUGCGGUGCCGGCCUUGCGUGGCACGGGCCGACGAUGAGGAGCAGCGCCACCAACGCGGCGAGCACGAUGCGAGCCAUGGUGGUCCGGUCACGUACUGGAAGUCUGCUGGAACGCUGCGUUCGUUUUGGCCUGUGGAAAAGUUGGAGGCAGGCGGGCGCCUUUUAUUCAGCGGGCAGUGAGCUCUCGUUCGGACUAGGAAACCCGAGGCCACGAGCAUGUCCGAGCCGGAGAUCAGUUGACUGCGCGACCGAGUCGCCAUCUGGUCAGACCCGCGCGCACGAAUCUCCAGGCGACGGGGAAUCGGUAGCGGCCGCGCGUCCUUGCACAUAUCUUGACGCAGCAGAGGGUAAGGGUUAAAGGCCGCGGCCGAAGGGUUUGCUCGGCUUCCUCUCUCCCUCCCCCUUCCCUCCCGCGGCGGCGCCUGCGAGACCCAUCCGCCGCCACGCCAUGGCCAAGUUCAACGUGGUGCAGAAGAACAAGCGCCAGUGGAAGCAGGACCGCAAGCGCGCCGCGCAUGGGGAGCCCGGCACCGGCAAGCUCAAGCAGCGGACCGCGCCCAUCUCCAUGUCCGGCAAGCGGAAGCGCAAGAUCGAGCGCCGCCUCAACCGGGUGAGUCUGGCGGUUUUCUUCUCUGGGAUGUUGUUUGUUUGUGCGGAGGUUUGGCAUCUCUGAUGCCUGUUCUGUUGGGUUUGUGGUGCAGGAUCAGAAAGAGGCUGCGAUGAUUAAGGCUCUCGAGAACAACAUGGGGGAUGUCGACAUGGUCUCUGCUGAAGGUGCGCUUGCUUGUUUUGAUAAGGGUGAUGGAAAAUUGAUCUUAUUGGGAUUCAGUUAGGUCUAAUUUUGGAGAAUGUUGUGUGCUAGUGAGGUGUGAUUUUUUGUAGGAUUGACCCAGAUUGGUUGUUUGGAGGGUUAGGGAUAAUUAUUGAUUCGUUUGUAAAGUAUAAUGCUGUAGAGAAUUGCAGAAGUGCUGUAUUGGUACUGCCGUUUCUUUUGAAAUUUAGUCGAGGGAUAACUAAAUGUGUUAAGCUCCACCCUAUCAUGGAAGCUAGAGCAAAUUGGAGGGGGUGCACUUGCCUUAUGGGUGCAUAGAGUUUAGUUGUGAGGGGUGCAUAUAUGGUGCAAAUUUGUACCUAACCACUAUUUUUUUUUAACUUUUUAAUGCACCCCCUAAUCACACUAUACCUUCGCCCCAGCUAUCAUGUUUGCUUCGCUGUUUGUAAACUCCACGGUAGAUUUGGUGGAAAAUUGGAUAUUACUGGUUAUUGCAUCUUUGAUCAUGAAAAAACUGAUUUUUCUGUUUCCAUCUUGCGUUGCAAUACGCUUAUUGGUGCUAUUUCGUCUUGUUGGUAUUUGGAAACGAGUUUCCAUCUAGCUUGUUUUAUAGUUAAGUUUAUUUUGUUUGUGUCAAUAAUAACUUUAUCACCUCCGCUUGAAAACAGAUAAUAUUUCUAUGACAUACCAAGCAAAGCUAUUCUGAUUCAUUGUGAUGAAAUGCAUAACCUAUAGGCAUAGCCAGUUUCUGCCUUUCUGGCAGUUUCUGGAUCAUGGUUGUCUGUAGACUUGUGAAUCAAACUAAGAUAAUCUGCCUUAAGGUUCUUCACAAAAUAAGAGUUUUGCAACAUUUAGAUGUUCUAAUUAAAUGUUAUAGACUGCUAAACUGUCAUGAAAGUUCUCCUGAGAGGGCUAUUACCUUGCUCACAAAGUUCUCGUGUUCCUGACUAGGGCAUAUGUGUGUCCUAGGUUCCUAACAACAUGGGUAGCGAUGGUCUUAGAUUAACCUGCCUGCCUAGGGAAUUCCAUUGGCUUCUGUUGUUUCUGUCAUAUUAUCUCAGUGUGUUGUUUGAUUUCAUUUCCACAUAUUUGGUCCGGCACAUUCUUCCCCUGUUGACCUUUAACCUCUAUAAUAAAUAUUUAUCUGAUAACUACUGCAACCCUGUUUCUUACUUUCGUAUUUUUAUGGACAGAGUCUUCAGAAGCUGCAAAGGGCAAGUCUCAAGUGAAGGUCAGUGUGAAGAAAAGCUCCAGGAUACAGAUCAAAAGAUUAAAAGGCAAAGGUAAGUUUCCUGUUGUUCAACUUAGUAAUACAUCAUACACCAAUUCCUUCUUUGUGAACAAUCAAGCAGUCUGCUUACUUUGUGCCAUCAUGUGAUACGUCUAUCCAACCUUGUUGAUUCACUCUGCAGGUAGAAAGAAAGCCAAAAAUGCAAAGCCGCCUACAAAGGACAAAGUUGACGCCAUGGUAGAAUGAAGGAUAGGUACUGUGAAGCCUUUGUACGUUUGCUGAGAACCAGCAAGGAUUGCAGAGACUGACCUCGCCAAAGUGGGGAGCGUGAACUACCUUGCGGCUUGUGCCACUACCGCCUGAAUGUUCAUUAGGAACUACUUAGAUCUGGUGUUAAUGUAUCGAACUUCAAACAUGAAUCAAGUUUUGUAAUAGUUGAGUAUGCAUGGGUUUUUUUUUCAUGUUCUUGUUGGGUUUGUGUUUGUGGAGAUGUUUUGUUGUGAAUUGGCGCCCGUCAUCUGUUGCAGUCAGGAAUAACCGAUCUGCAGUGCAGCAAAACAUAACUAUCCGUUCCUGGUUUGGGCAGAACAGGCCGUGCGCCGCGUGCCUGGCUGUCCCAGACAUUUUUCUGUUACCAUUGCUCAAGUGCAAGCUGGUCCGUUUGGCAGGAAGGAUCUCGCAGGGGCAGGGGUGUGUUUGGUUUGGUGGUCGAAGGUUGGAACGGGUUCAACCCUCGUGGAUCCACGUUUGGUUGGAGAGGGAUGGGGGUUGGGUCGGACCUAAUAGGGAAAUAUUCGUCUGAGAUGCGGGUCGAACGCAUCCGCUCAAAAUGAGCGGACGUACUCGACCCGCAUCGACACCGUGUGCGUCCGUCCGUGCGUGCGGGAGGAGGCGGCAUGGCACGGGGGUGGCGAGGAGGCGGUCAGCGGGGAGGAGGCGGCGGCCGGCGCGGGGUGGGGAUGAGGAGGCGGGUAAUAAAAAAAAGAUGACAAAUGGGACCCGCAGCUGAUAGGUGGGACCCGUUGCUAACGGUGCUAAAAUGUCAUACAUCCUAUCCUUCUCAACCCCUUCAACCAAAUAAAAGACUAGAAUGAACCCAUCCCUCUUCAUCCCUCUCAUCCAAACACGAGAUGGGUCGACACCAACUCACAAAAGGAGGUCGUGUCCAACCACAUGUUCCAAAACCAAACACACCCAUAGCUGCUGAUCGGCUUACGGCGAUGCCGUUUCGCGGCAGAUGAAUAUCCAAAACUCGUUUUGCCAAGAUAGGCGUACAUUCCGUGUGAUUUUGUUAAUGUGUCAAGGGUGUGCCUGGCCUGAAAAUUUAUGUGCGUUUUUAUCUUUCUUAACUUUAAGCUCCAUUUUGUAGCAAAACCCCAUCUAUUCUCUUGCAGUCUUAUCACUGCGGCAUCCAAACUUGCCCAGAAACAACACAAUUUAAGAGCUGAGAGCCUGAAACAAACUUUAUUACAGCCAUGUUCAGUAUUGAAGCACGUUUUGCUGUCAGCAGAAAUUUUAUUCAAGAUAGAUGACACAAACAAACACCAGACAUCCGUGUGGCAAAUAACUUGGCACAUUCAGACAGUUCAGUACAGUUACAGAGUACAGACUACAUGGCACAACAUACAUCUAUAAGACAUUUGGUCUCAGGUGAUAUUUGAUUCAGGUUACAUGCUUGACACCACAACACAUACUACAGCAGACUUGAACAUGUCCAUUCAGACAUACUAUCCUACUCCAGCUCAAUCUGCACCGCUCUACGCGUCGGCCUUGAGGAAGAGUCCGAGCCGUUGCAUGAUGCCGGGACGGCCAUACUCGGCGAUGCACAGGCGCCGCAGGUCCCGUGCGUGGAUGCUCUCGUCGGGCAGCACCGCCCUCUCCAUCUCCAGAAGCUGCCGUCGGAUCUUCGCCUUGGCGAUCAGAUCGGUCUUGGAGUGCUUCUCUGGUUCCGUCCUCUGCACCACCUCCGAUGCUGGUUCCGGUGCCGGCUGCACAGAUGUUCCGUUCUCCUGGGGAAGGACCGCCUGUGGAAGUGGAACCGGGACGUCGACGGUCUCGUCGGGAUCGCUGUCAGAUUCGCUGUCCGAAUCUGAAUCACUCGAAGAUGAGCUUCCGGAGUCGCUGUCUGAAUCUGAAUCGCUCGAAGACGAGCUUCCAGAAUCGCUGCUUGAAGUCGGGCCAUUGCCGGAUUCGCCAGCCUUCUCAACGGGAACGGCAGGGGAGACGCCGCCGCAGAUGUCGACGAACUCGUUCUUGUCCUCCGCGCUCUCGAACUCAACGAUCUUCGCGGGAGUAGAAACCUUCGUCCGCUGCGCCGGUGGCGUCUUGAUGGAAGCCUCCGCCGGCGCUUCCGAUCGUGGCUCGGCGGCGGCCAUGGACCGCCCGUUGUUGCCGCUGGACAAGAGCUCCGCCUUCCUCAGGAGGGCGUGGAGGGCGUCGAGCUCCGCGGCCAUCCUCUUCCGAAGGGUUCCCAGUGCAGGCUCGACGGAGAUCGUCUUGACGCCGUCGCGGGUCACCUUGGUACGCUUCGGACUGGGCAACGAGAACUGCUCGUCUGCGCCGGCGCGGCGAGCCGACUUCUUCUCGCGCAGCAUCGUGCCACAAGUAGCGGUUUCGACGACCCGCGGCGGCUUGACGAACGGGCGGGCGUUGGGCACCUCGCCGCCGCCGCCGACAGGAAUGACCUCCAUCUCGACGACGACGCCAUUACGGACGACCUUGGUGUACUUCGGGCAGGGCGCGGAGAGCUUCUGAUCGCCGCCGACUCCGCGGGUCGUCGACGAUGACUGCCGCGCCAUGGCGCCGCAAGCCGCGGGUGCGGCGGCCCGCGAACGCUUCGAGAACGGGCGGGCGACGGGAGCGGGAGCGGCGCGACGAAGGGCGCCCAUGGUUGGCCGCACGUCGAAUGGGCGAGCAAACUCUCGCGGGUCUCGCCGGACGCCGGGAGGGAGAACUCAGAGAAGAGGACCGGUGGGAGAGGGAGGAUGGAUGUGGAGGCAUGGAGGCAUGGUGGGGUGCUAUUAAUCGUCCCCGGGCGAGUGAUUCGAGUCGGAGACGGUCGCCGCCACGCGCUUCCGAUGCGCCGGAUGGUUCCGACUUCCGAGUCCGACUAGAAUUCGAACGAGAAGCAAGCUUCGCGCCUUGCCUGUUUUCCAAGCACCAGGAGGCGGCAGUAUGUUUCCGUCUCUCCCGCCAGAAAACGUAAUCCGACGAGGCAAUUGUUUGCCAAAACACAAAACCAAUCUGUUGCCUGAGACCGAUUGGCACAAGCCGUAAAUUGUUUUGCCAAAACACAAAACCGCUCUUGCACCUAGACGAUUUUGACAAAAUGAAAUGCCCAGGCAUGCACGGAUUACCGAUUCAUGGUGUGUAUCAGUGCAACACUUGAUGUACUCCGAACGUAUAAUGAAACGAUUAUUCAGAAAAGAUCAAAAGAUACAUAUUCUCGCUCAUAGUAUUGCGGUUCCCAUCACUGAACACGGUUGGAGAAUUAUGUAACAGCCUAUAACACUGAUCAACAACAGAAACAAAAAUCCAUGCAAAAAGAAUACAAUCUCAUCGAUGCAUCCAGGAAUCUCUAUGGAAUUACCUCGGCGCAUGUAAAGUGCAAGUGCAAAAUUUAAAACAAACUAUUUAUUAUGGUAUUCUCGGAAGAAAACACAAUUGGGAUAUUUCCAACAAAGUACUAAGUCGUGCAUUGGCAUUAUUUGUCAUACAUGGAGGGAUUACACGUAAGAAAAGAGAGAAGAUUAUUUGCCGCAACUAACUAGUCUUUCGAGUCAUGACUAAGUGCUGUUUAGAAGUUGUCCUAAGUCAGCUAUAUUAAACUUUGGUUAAAUGGGUUUUUUUAAUGUCAAGUUUGGGUAUUUAAAAAUGACACGAGUAGCUGAUUCGUCUCCAAACGUACUUUCAUGAAACACACUUUUACUUUGUUUUAUAAAUAUUUUCUAAUAAAAGUACUACUCAAAGGUGUUCUUUGUCAAUGUCCAAAAUAUCCUUAAUUGUGACAGGAGGAAAGUUAGCGUACAACAUAAUCCAAUAUGUGUGAAUUAUUCAAUGCCCAUAUAUUAAACUAGUUGGAGAGGUUGUCUAUUGUGUCAUUUAUAGAUGACAUGGACACUUACUUUUUUUUGAAAGGAUGACAUGGACACUUGUGAAUAAGCCUUUCAUUGAAAAAUAAAAAUAUAUCUUGCACUCUCAUAAAAUGGAGGGAGCAAUAGAUUCCACAUUUGAUAAAUUGCACUUACAAAUUCGCAAUAUAUUUCAUGACACGUACACCGGUACACCGUACACGGUGUGGGUUGGAAACUUGGAACUGACGUCAAGCUGUCCCCGCAGGUUGCUUGGCGCCGUAGCCGCCGUACGGCGGAGGAGCAGGC
rnacentral:lncRNA from 1 species